CUAUUUCACAAUGUACGCAAUAGGUAACAAUUAUUUCGAUAAUUUUUAAUUUCCAACAGUGGUGCUAUACGAUUACUACAUACUAAUACUACAAUAUAAAACAUAAAACACCUUUGAUUGUAUACUGUGUGUAUUAUUGUUCUAUAUUAUUACCAAUUGUGUCUAGAUUUAUUAUGUAUAAUUUGGAACAUUCAUUAUUAGAUAAAUACAAAUGUAUGUAUCAAAAUUAUCUUAGAGCUCUGGGAUGCUUAUCAAAUUUGUCUAUGAUAACUACGCCUACAAAUAAAAACAUUUAGAACGCAGGUGACAUGGAUAGAUUGUUACUUCAAUUAGUAUUAAUU